GAUGAACGCUAGCGGGAGGCCUAACACAUGCCAGCCGAGCGGUAGAGUCUCUUCGGAGACUUGAGAGCGGCGCACGGGUGCGGAACACGUGUGCAACCUGCCUUUAUCUGGGGGAUAGCCUUUCGAAAGGAAGAUUAAUACCCCAUAAUAUACUGGAUGGCAUCAUCUGGUAUUGAAAACUCCGGUGGAUAGAGAUGGGCACGCGCAAGAUUAGAUAGUUGGUGAGGUAACGGCUCACCAAGUCAGCGAUCUUUAGGGGGCCUGAGAGGGUGAUCCCCCACACGGGUACUGAGACACGGACCAGACUCCGACGGGAGGCAGCAGUGAGGAAGAUUGGACACGGGGUGAGAGCCUGAUCCAGCCAUCCCGCGUGAAGGACGACGGCCCUAUGGGUUGUAAACUUCUUUUGGAUAGGGAUAAACCUAGAUACGUGUAUCUAGCUGAAGGUACUAUACGAAUAAGCACCGGCUAACUCCGUG
rnacentral:rRNA from 1 species